rnacentral:rRNA from 1 species
AUACGGAGGGUGCAAGCGUUAAUCGGAAUUACUGGGCGUAAAGCGGACGUAGGCGGUUAUUUAAGUCAGAUGUGAAAGCCCCGGGCUUAACUUGGGAACUGCAUUUGAAACUGGGUAACUAGAGUUUAGUAGAGGGGAGUGGAAUUUCAGGUGUAGCGGUGAAAUGCGUAGAGAUCUGAAGGAACACCAGUGGCGAAGGCGACUCCCUGGACUAAAACUGACGCUGAGGUACGAAAGCGUGGGUAGCAAACAGGAUUAGAAACCCUGGUAGUCC